rnacentral:rRNA from 1 species
CCUACGGGAGGCUGCAGUAGGGAAUCUUCCACAAUGGGCGAAAGCCUGAUGGAGCAACGCCGCGUGGGUGAAGAAGGUCUUCGGAUCGUAAAACCCUGUUGUUAGAGAAGAAAGUGCGUGAGAGUAACUGUUCACGUUUCGACGGUAUCUAACCAGAAAGCCACGGCUAACUACGUGCCAGCAGCCGCGGUAAUACGUAGGUGGCAAGCGUUAUCCGGAUUUAUUGGGCGUAAAGGGAACGCAGGCGGUCUUUUAAGUCUGAUGUGAAAGCCUUCGGCUUAACCGGGGUAGUGCAUUGGAAACUGGGAGACUGGAGUGCAGAAGAGGAGAGUGGAACUCCAUGUGUAGGGGUGAAAUGCGUAGAUAUAUGGAAGAACACCAGUGGCGAAAGCGGCUCUCUGGUCUGUAACUGACGCUGAGGUUCGAAAGCGUGGGUAGCAAACAGGAUUAGAUACCCGAGUAGUC